UGUAUUGUGUUGAUUGAUUGAAAUUAUAUAUUUAACAUAUGGACCGUGCUCUGUGAAAAGGGGGUUAAAUGCAUGUGCGUUAAGUGUCAUCAAAGAUUAGCAGGUGCAGACCGGAAUGCAAAGGCUAAUCUGGGACGACACUUUGAAAUCUCAGACAACAUUAGGUUUAAGAAUAGUAUUUACAUAAGGAGGAUUGUUUCUCAAAUGCAUGUAACUUUCUUUGCAACUAUUUUUUUCAAGUAUACAGUCCAACCCCUUUUUCCGGUCACCCCUCAUCGCCGGUCGCCCCGUGUAUGUGGCCGGUCUGUGCUGCGACCGUCCAUAAACACUAUAUAAUGCACCCCUCUUUAGCGGUAACCCCGUUUCUCCGGCCAGCGGCCAGCAAUUUUGCAUCACAAAUGUUAAAUUUCCCCCAUAUGAGUGGUCACGCGGGAGUAAGUCGGUCAUGUAUAUCAGCAAAAUUACACCGACGCAACAGCGAAAAAAUCAAUACGUACUUCCAGAGUGCGGUUUAGGCUCUUUAGUACUGAAGCGUAGCGUGUGAUAAACAUUUUGACAGCCAGUUUGCAAAUUGCAAUUAGUUAGCAGCAGAUUAUCGGGUUAUCAGGUUAAAAGCAAUAUGCGACCGUUUGAUCUUUUUGUUUCCGCACAUGCGAAUAUCACCUAUUAUUACUGGGAAAGAGAAUCUUAAUUUAUUAUUUGUAGCUGUUGAAUCAUAAUAUUUAAAUCGAACCUUUAUGACAAUUAUCGGCUAAUUAAAAGUUUCUGCUUGGCGAUUUGUCGCGAUAAUUAAGGUGUCUAUGAUUUUAGAAACCGUCAUUCUUUCAAAAGUUUUUCUUAUGUGCAUAUCGGAUAUUUUGUGUUUAGAAUAAUGGCUACAAAGAGAAAAUGUAUGACGUUAGAGGAAUGUGUUGAGUGUAUCAAAUUAUUAGAACAAGGCAAGUUCACGUGUCAUUGCAACUGAAAUGGGUGUUGGCCGUACCCAGGUUCAGGGUGUUCUUAAGAGAAAAUGCGAGAUCAUGGAUGAGUAUGAGGGAAACGGUCGGUAAUCUUGAGAUAAAACGGCAGCGACCUAGUUCUGAGUUUGGAGAUUUAAACACACUUGUGUAUAGGUUGUUUAUGGAUGCUACCGCCCGUUUAGUGAAUGUGACUGGUCUGAUGAUACAAGAGAAAGCCCAAUCACUUGCAGUGGAUUUGAAAAUUACUAAAUUUAAGGGUUCAAAUGGAUGGCUAGAUAGAUUUCUUAAGAGAAACAACAUAGUGUUUAAUUCGCGUGUUGGUGAACGGGGGGAAGUGUGCGAGGAUACUGUGAAAAAUUGGAAAGACAGUCUUUCAGAAGUGUGUCAAGGAUACGAUCCAUCUGAUAUUUUCAACAUGGAUGAAAGUGGAGUGUUCUACCAUGAUACCGCUAAAACAACAUUCUUUAAGAAAGGUGAUUCAUGCAGUGGAGGAAAAGCCUCAAAACAACGUAACACAAUAGCAUUAUGUGCUUCGAUGACUGGUAAGUGUUUUUGUUUUGAAACACCAUUCCGAUUUUUUAGUUUCGGGUGACUUUAUUUAGCAACUGUUUUAACAGGACACGUUUAUUCCGCGUAAAUCUUUUGAUCGACAAGAACCGCGCAUGUAUAACGUCACGUUUUCCAUGAGAAAAGCGUGGGCGUAUUUAUUGAUAAAUAAAACUUCCUAGUGCAGAAGAAAAUAGAAAGAUUUUAUUUGACAUUUUCUUUGAUGUUUUGCUGACUCUGACAAUUAUGUUUUCCGAAAAUAGCCGCUGUCAAUCAAACCUGUGUAAACAUCAUGACAGCGACACGCUGAUAACAGGAUAGUAGGCAGAGUUAGAAAAAUUGAUAUUGGCCAUAUACACCGAAGACAGUAGUAGCUGGUGUGCGUAAUUUACCUAAGCGUGGCUUCAUUAAAUUUCAGGAGAGAAACUAAAACCACUGGUAAUUGGUAAAUCAGCCAGACCUCGCUGCUUCGGACACAUGAGCACAGAUAAACUACCAGUCCAGUAGGAGUCUCACAGCAAGUCCUGGAUGCUGACACCGCUGUUUGAGAAAUGGGUAAAAGACCUUGACAAACGAAUGCGGGCACAGAAUCGUAAGAUACUCCUUCUGCUGGACAACGCACCUGUCCAUCCAGAUAAUACAUUGAAGAAUGUGAAACUGAAGUUCUUCCCCAAGAGCACAACCUCUGUGUUACAGCCCAUGGAUGCUGGGAUCAUUCAGGCAGUCAAACUGAACUACUGGCGACGCCAACUUUAGCACGUCUUGGCUGAACUGGAGAAGGAUAAGACCAAACUCGGGCCAGAAAUCCUCCGACAGAUACCAAUUUAAGGCUAUCUACUGGGUGUCUGGUGCCUGGAGGGAGGUUGAGAGUGACACAAUUGUGAAGUGCUUCGGAAAAUGUGGGUUCACAGAAGAGGUGCUAUCUAGUGCUUUAUUCCAGUCAGCUGAGGUUGAAGUGUUAAGAGUCAGACACUGAUGAUGAUGAUGAAUAUCCCCUAGCUGUCCUUAAAAUGGCCAGGGAUCUGUUUAAUUGUAAAUUUAGAGAUUUAGUUGACAUUGACAAGGCAGUGCAUACAUGUGAUAACAAUAUGACGAACUGGGAGAGGGACGUAUCUGAGAUUUUGAAUGAUAUUAAUGGUGAGUCCACUGACUGGAAGUUUUGAAACGGAGGAAGAAGAGGACACCAGUGAACCUAAAAAUGUGACUUUCGCUCAGGUUGCAGAGUAUCUGAGUGGUCUGAUGGACUUUGCUUUGUGUAAGGGUCAGGGAUCAAUGUUAGAUCAUGUCAUGCACAUUGAGGACUUGUUUGUUGAAAUGCAUGUGGAGGCAUCAUGUAAACAGACCAAAAUAAGUGACUUUUUCAAACAAUAAAUUGUCAGAUGUUUUAUUUUAUUGUCAUAGUUCAUAUGACUAUGAUUGACGGUGAUAAGAAUAAUGUUUAUUCUUAUGAUACUUAAGAUGAUGAUGAGAAUUACACGUAUUCUUUUUCAUGGACUUUAUUUCUGAUGAUGAUAUUGAUGAUGAUUAGAAGGAUGAAUAUUUUUUUGAAUGAAAAUGUUGUUCUAUAGCUUAUCUAUAGAGAAGAAAUAAAAUGAUUUUACAUCUA